rnacentral:tmRNA from 1 species
GGGGCUGAUUCUGGAUUCGACGGGAUUUGCGAAACCCAAGGUGCAUGCCGAGGGGCGGUUGGCCUCGUAAAAAGCCGCAAAAAAUAGUCGCAAACGACGAAAACUACGCUUUAGCAGCUUAAUAACCUGCUUAGAGCCCUCUCUCCCUAGCCUCCGCUCUUAGGACGGGGAUCAAGAGAGGUCAAACCCAAAAGAGAUCGCGUGGAAGCCCUGCCUGGGGUUAAAGCGUUAAAACUUAAUCAGGCUAGUUUGUUAGUGGCGUGUCCGUCCGCAGCUGGCAAGCGAAUGUAAAGACUGACUAAGCAUGUAGUACCGAGGAUGUAGGAAUUUCGGACGCGGGUUCAACUCCCGCCAGCUCCACCA